UACGGAGGGUGCAAGCGUUAUCCGGAUUUACUGGGUUUAAAGGGUGUGUAGGCGGACUUUUAAGUCCGUGGUGAAAUCUCCGGGCUCAACCCGGAAACUGCCAUGGAUACUAUUGGUCUUGAAUAUUGUUGAGGUGGGCGGAACGGGUCAUGUAGCGGUGAAAUGCAUAGAUAUGACCCGGAACACCGAUUGCGAAGGCAGCCCACUAAGCAAUGAUUGAACGCUGAGGCACGAAAGCGUGGGGAUCAAACAGG
rnacentral:rRNA from 1 species